GUUGUAACUUGCCUCUAUUAAAAAUAUUGGGUAACAAAUUUCGCCGAGCGGAGCGAGGCAAACUUUUUUUUUGAAGGGUUUUGGAGCCACUGAAGGCCCAAGAAGCUAUAGAACAAAUGAUGCAAAAUCAUGCUUUCUGGGUGUUCCAAAGACCCUUUCAUAAUCUGAAAAUGCAAGUUUUGUUUUAAUAAUUUUUUGACAAUAUUUUGGUCUCGAAGCAAAAUGUAUAAAUUCAGUGCAAGACUUAAGUUUCU
rnacentral:lncRNA from 1 species